GAGUUUGAUCGUGGCUCAGGAUGAACGCUGGCGGCGUGCCUAAUACAUGCAAGUCGAGCGAACAGACGAGGAGCUUGCUCCUCUGACGUUAGCGGCGGACGGGUGAGUAACACGUGGAUAACCUACCUAUAAGACUGGGAUAACUUCGGGAAACCGGAGCUAAUACCGGAUAAUAUAUUGAACCGCAUGGUUCAAUAGUGAAAGACGGUUUUGCUGUCACUUAUAGAUGGAUCCGCGCCGCAUUAGCUAGUUGGUAAGGUAACGGCUUACCAAGGCAACGAUGCGUAGCCGACCUGAGAGGGUGAUCGGCCACACUGGAACUGAGACACGGUCCAGACUCCUACGGGAGGCAGCAGUAGGGAAUCUUCCGCAAUGGGCGAAAGCCUGACGGAGCAACGCCGCGUGAGUGAUGAAGGUCUUCGGAUCGUAAAACUCCGUUAUUAGGGAAGAACAAAUGUGUAAGUAACUAUGCACGUCUUGACGGUACCUAAUCAGAAAGCCACGGCUAACUACGUGCCAGCACG
rnacentral:rRNA from 1 species